UGACCAUAUAGCAUUCAAACAUUGGUUCCCAUAUGACCACCAAAGUUAAGCAAUGUUGAGUCUGGCCAGUAUCUAGAUAGGUGAACGUUUGUGAAUACUAGGUGCUGUAA